ensembl:snRNA U6 U6 spliceosomal RNA
AUGCUUACUUCAGCAGCACAUAUACUAAAAUUGGAACGAUACAGAGAAGAUUAGCAUGGCCCCUGCACAAGGAUGACAUGCAAAUCUGUGAAGUGUUCCAUACUUAA